AGCGGGGACCUACAGCACAAAGCCAAAUAGCGACAAGUCUGGGGCUUGCUCCUGAGCCCGUGUUUGUCACUCAGGAAACUCUAACCCCGUUAUCAGGUGUCAGUGUGCUGCAAAGAGCCCGGGAUGAAGUCACCCUUCUUGCCAGCCCGGAAAAAACUCAGCAGGCGAGCGCUGUGCAUCUUGGAAAAUCAGACUCUGAACGUGAUCAGGCUGUGGAGAACACUUUACAUAUCUGGUGCUCUGGCUACUCUAAGAACAGAUAUGUUAAACAGCAUCAGCGCCAGGCCCACACAAAACAAGUUAAAACAAUCUGAACUUGGCUCAAAAAUUCUGCCACCCUCCAGAUGUUUUCAACAGCAAAGGAUCACACUUACCAUGUUGGGAGCAGGUAAACACCUGGAGCCUGCCUGAUUGCCUCCCCGCGUGCUCUGCCUGACUGGACCAGGUUUCCAAGGAUCUUCCUCAGAUGAAGUGACCCCGUGGUCCCACCUGGCAGGCGGCUGUGUGAGUGCAAGCCCCUGGCCAGCACCCUGCUCAGCAGUUCAUCUCCUUGCAGUAAUUCCAAUACACUAUGUUUGGUUCACUCAUAGUUUCCAAGAAAGGAGGUAGGCUUGAAUUGAAGACAAGCAUUGAAGACUCCCACUUUUCUGGGUCUGUUUCAGGAGUCCCUGACCGUCACGUUCAGAAGAGCAUCCCACCUCCCUGUGUCUGGCUUCAGCUUGCAGACAUACCAUUUUAUUCUGCCUUCUGCUUGAUUAAAGAGCCUUUCAGAGCCUGGCAUUUUCUCUUUGUGACACUACACAUAUGCUGCAAGCAAACCCCCUCUCAUCCGUCUUUCUGAAAAGCUAAAUAUACUGAGUCGCUUAAUUCUCUUUCUGCCAGGCUUUUCCUCCCACCCUCAAGCCAUUUUUUUGUGUUUCUGCUCUAUAGAGCCUCUCUGAUUUUCCUGAAUCCUUUUCAAGAUACAGAAUCCCACAUUGAGCCUCCCUAAUGCUUUGACACAGGGAUUUAAUCUGCUUUUCCUACUUUCUGUCUUAAAGGGCUGCAUUAGUCCUUUCUACCACAGCAUCAGGAUAAGGAUUCAGGCAGGAUCCUCUUGAAUCUUUUCCAGACCCCCCUGCUGGCAGGUUAGAACCACCUGUAUCUCAGCUGCACAUCCAGGAACUGAUGAAUGGAGUUUGCUGGUUGGAGACACCUCCACUCGCACACACCUCCCUCACUUGCUCCCUUGUCCUAGAAUCAUGGAUGUCAUAGUUGCCACAUUUGGGGAGGCUUAGGGAGCUGAGCUUGGCAGGCCUUAGGAAGAUUUGCUAAGCCCUGGUGAGCUGUCCAGGAGCAAAUGUCCUGCUCCUAGUAGGUUACUGCACCGUGAAAGAGAGGAGAGCACAGAACCAAGCAGUGCCUGCUGGCAUGCAGGCUGGUUUGACUGUCUAGGAAAUAUUUUGCAAUGCCUGUUAAUAUUUUACCCAUUUUGUCCAGAGUGACAAUGGUCACUGUAGAAUCUGUGCACUGACUAGUUACCAGGCUGCACACCAUGAUCACAGCCUCUUAAAAACAAUUGGCUAGGUGAAGGUUCCCUCUUUAAUUCUACUCCUUAAGAAACCAGCUAAAAUAACCCUCCCCCCAGCAGCCUCCCCAGUGAAGCCUACCUGAGAUCUGGCAGUGAAAUAGGGAGUCUUCCUCAGCCCAGGUGCCAUUACUGGAUAUCACAGUGCAUUUCUUCAUGCCAGUGCUGCAGGAAUCUUGAAUGAGCCCAGUUCCAGCUGUGGCCAUGCUGCCUCUCUGAAGCCAGGAGUGCUGUCCUUGAG